UAAAGAUUAAAUGACAUCAUAAAGGUGGGGCCCUAAUCCAACAGGACUGGUGUUCUUAUAAGAAGAGGAAAAGAACACAAGGAAUGCACGUGCACGGAGAAGAAGCCACGUGAGGACACAAUGAGAAGGUGGCCACCUGCAAGCCAGGGAGAAAGGCUUCCGAUGAAACCAAACCUGCUGGCACCUUGACCUCGGACUUCCAGCCUUCAGAACUAAUUUUGAAGGCUGCCCAAGACUAGAAGCAGUGUUCCUCAAGACUAGAGUCCCAAGAACCCAAGGUGAUCAACCAGGCAACCACAUCACUGAGCGCUCCAUAUCCCCAGAAAUAGACCCUGGAUUCCUGUAUAAGAAAACUGAAGACUGGAUACAUGAGGGAACAGCAAACCACGUAUCCACACACACACAGCCACCGAGACACAAGCAAAGGGGCACCAACCCUGAGUGCCUUGUGAUCUGUUAGUGCUCAGUCAUCAUUUCAACAUUCCCCGCAUCUUGCUGGACGCUGAGGUUAUGGGAGUUGCUCGUUAAUGCACCCUCUAAAGGAGAAAGCUGCCUUUUGAUUGAAAUUAAAAUUCCCUCAGGGACAUGAA